rnacentral:lncRNA from 1 species
CCUGAAUCUAAGGAGCCACAAAAAAUUAAAAUACCCAAAGACACUAAGCGAUUAAUUCCAAGCUUGCCAACAAUGGCGGACUUGAAGUUAAUAAACAGUAUAUAGCAAGAGACAACAAAUUAAAUUCUCAUUUCAACCGUUUCUUGAUCAACUAGGAUUAGCUAGACCAUCAAGAGAAUAGCUAGAGGUAAGUUCAGUCAAGCACUCACCAAGGUGGCUCAAGCAGGCAUCGACAGAAACAGUUGGCUCCCGCUUUGGAACUCUAAUGGAGGAGGAAGAAGCUGAAAAACGAACGCAAACUAACACAGAAGAAGACAAAAAUGUAAACCCGAGUUGCCGCCACUGACACUGAAGAGCACAAGU